CGGAAAUUGAAGAGGGAAAUCCCAGAAUGGCUGAAACCACAGUAGGGCACGGACCAAAUCAUUAAUCCAGGCUGGAUUAAUGAGUGGUCCUCCAGACCACUGUGCUCUUGUCAUCAAGGAGAUCUAAAGUAAAGAGGUCUACCUUUCCAUCUACAGUUGCCUGAUUUAUGGAGGACAAGCCUCUGGCCUUGUUUCUAAAUUCCAUUCAAGGCAUCUACACUAAAAAACAGAUGGGACACGGACGCUAAGAAACUCUCCCAAGGACAAGGAUACACAACCAAUAAGCAGCAGAGUCAACAUCACAUGGUAGUCAAGUUCCAGAAUCUAUACCCUUAACCUCUGCAAUCUGCAGACUUUCUUCUGAUAGCCACCCAUUGACUACAAACAAAGGGGAUGGCCAGUAACCCAGCUGACACAAGUGAGUCAUAUGACUCCAUCAGGAAUGGAAUUAAUUGGUCCACUGUGGAAUUCUUCCACCUUGUUCUGCAGCCCAAAGGCAGAAGCAGAGGAAAUAGAUAUUGAAUUUUCCAAGAGUUGGGGUCAGACUGGUCACUGGAAUCUCAAGAGGGGCUUUAAAAAAACGCUGAAUUCUGAGAGCUAUCGUGGAGCAAUAAUAUGGAAAAACUAGGGGUGAGGUCCAGGAAUUUUUUUAAAAAGGGUCCCUCAGUG
rnacentral:lncRNA from 1 species